rnacentral:rRNA from 1 species
AGGGGAAUAUUGCACAAUGGGCGCAAGCCUGAUGCAGCCAUGCCGCGUGUAUGAAGAAGGCCUUCGGGUUGUAAAGUACUUUCAGCGGGGAGGAAGGGAGUAAAGUUAAUACCUUUGCCCAUUGACGUUACCCGCAGAAGAAGCACCGGCUAACCCCGUGCCAGCAGCCGCGGUAAUACGGAGGGUGCAAGCGUUAAUCGGAAUUACUGGGCGUAAAGCGCACGCAGGCGGUUUGUUAAGUCAGAUGUGAAAUCCUCGGGCUCAACCUGGGAACUGCAUCUGAUACUGGCAAGCUUGAGUCUCGUAGAGGGGGGUAGAAUUCCAGGUGGAGCGGUGAAAUGCGUAGAGAUCUGGAGGAAUACCGGUGGCGAAGGCGGCCCCCUGGACGAAGACUGACGCUCAGGUGCGAAAGAGUGGGGAGCAAACAGG